AGAGUACGUGGGAGAGGGGCGGAGAGAGAGAGAGGGAGAGAGAGAAUUAAAACAGUCUCUGCUUGAAUGUUGUCAGCAUGGAGCCCAACACAGGGCUCUAUCCCACAAACUAUGAGUUCAUGACCUGAGCUGAAAUUAGGAGUCAGACGCUCAACCGGCUAAGCCACCCAGGUGCCCCAGGAGUGGUCCUUUAAUUGUAUCUCUUGUAAAGACAGAAAAUACCAUUUUCCCCUGCUACAUAAACCUCAUGAAUUUUGCCUAGCUUGCAUCUCCUUUAGGGUAGGUGCAAUAGCACAAGAAAAAACCUACAAAAAGGAAAACAGGUCACAGCUGGAGUCUUUUGGUGUCUGGUACACAAAGAAAGCCCACACAGAUCUUCCCUAAUACCAAUGAAGUUUAAGCUGCAGGGCCCUUACUCUCUGAAGGCCCUGGUGGGGACCCUAGCAAUUUUGAAUUUAUGAUUUUGUAUUCUUUUUCUUAAAGAGAGACUGCAAAUUGUGUGAGCUUAAGGCCCCACAGAAGCUGGAUCUGCCUCUGAACAUGGACGUUAGCAAAGUACAUAUAAAGCUCAACUCCUAUUUGGUACUGGGCCAAGCUCUAGAAGAUACUCUAGGCCAUCCUCAAUCUGAGGUUGGAAGAGGCUGGGCUGACUUGGGUUUGGAAAUCAAAUGCUUGGACUGGGACAAACCUUUUUUCUGUCUUGUUUUCCCCUCCUGGCAUAUCAAAUGCCACCUCAGCCAUGGAGGAGCAAGAUGGCAAACAUCUAACAAUGUGAGAGCUUCAAGGAACAGUUGCAAUGUGACUCCAUAAGGCAAAGUUUUGCACUUAAAAAAAAAAAAGAUUAUAACUUGGUGAGUCAAUUUGAAAUACAUCAUAACCAAGCUGUUUCCAAAGAUUAAUUCAGUGUUUUAUGUAAUAUCACAUAUGUUUUUGAAAUCAUAGUAAAGACACCUGGAAUCAUAAUAUUCUUUCAGUGGCAAAUGUCAUAUUACGUUUUUAGGGCAUUACGUCAAUUUAGUAUUUCACGUAUUAUUAAUAAUGCUUCAUUACAUAAAAUUAUUACUAAACUGGCAAUUAAGUGGAUGUGAAGGAUCCAUAUGCUAAACCGCUCAUAACAUUUCAAUUAUGAAUUUCACAUCAGAUGUCUUCUAGUGUACAUUAACAACAUUGACGAACAAUCUCUUUGCCAGAACCACCCAAAUGAACUCUGCUUUGUAGCAUGUAAUAUUGGCAUAAAGUCAUUUUGUACAUUUUCCUGGAUUUAAGGAAAUUAGAAAUGGAAGCAGCAGAUGAAGCAGCUAGUUCUCUCUCCUGAUAGUAGUAAAGCGUUUGUUAAUGUUGUAAUUAGCUCUCUCUUGAAUGUGUAAAGCCUUGGGGGUGCCAUUUAUGCCUCUUGAUUGACUAAAGUGUUGUUUUCUUGUUCCUUAAUUUACAUUUUCCCCAUAAAGAAACAAGCAAACAAAAACAGUGAUUCCAUUGUUUCUAGCUAACUGUUCUUUUUUUUUUUUUUUUUUUGGCUAUUUAUAAAUCUAGGUGGUGUCACAGGGUGUUUCUGCUUGGGGCCUCACCUUGAAUACAAAACCCAUGGAUGUUUUAAAGAAGGGGCUGGUAUUUAUCGCUCCAAAUUGAGACUGUAUUGACCAAGGAAAGUAUAGGUGAUUUUUAAAUAUAGCAACGCAGAAGGUCAUGUGAACUCCAAAGACGGCUUUUCAUGGAUUCAGUCCCUCCCUUUGUUCUCCUAUAAUAGUGGAUAGUGGAGUCAUCAAUCACAACCUGAUUUUAGGACCUCUUCCAAGAAUUCAGCAGUGAAUGAUUCUAGCUAUUAACAUAUUGGAAAGGGAUUUGCCCUCUGAUUUCCUUCAUAUACCCUACUGAUGUGCCUUUCAUGAGGCAUAUAUACCUCAGGUCUCUUCCGUCUUCAAACUGUACUGCAUAGUAACGUAAUGGAUAAGGUCAGAUGGCUCUUAGCCCACUCUUCACUUGGGUGUAUGGCAUCUUAUUGGUGGUUCCAUGAUUCAAGGUUGAGACCCCUGGUGCCGCUCAUUUGAAAAUGAUCAAGUUCUAAGCUAAAUAAAUGUUUUUCUAGGAUAUCA
rnacentral:lncRNA from 1 species